AGUGUCAUCAUGGGGCAGCUCCCGGCCGGAAUUGGUUCCCGCACACGUACGGCACGGCCAGCCAGGUAUUAACUGUGAUUUUUUUGGUUUUUCUAGCCCAGGACCUAAGCUGUUUGAAUACCCAGGCACCAAAUGAGUAUACUUCCGUCCUCCCCAUCAUUACGCUCUUAAGGAGACGGCUUUUAAAUAAUUCAGAGUCACAUCUGUGAACACCUCGCAGGCUCUGUUUGUAGCUGGCUGUCCACAGCUGCUUCCCUGGCCUCCUGCGUGUGAGGCAGCUCCGAGCUCUGCUCACCCCCUUCAAACACAGCACGGAGUUCCAACACCGCGAGGGACUCGCCGUGUCUGACCGGACCGGGUUGCCUUUAGAGCCGUGCUCAGAGGUGCUGCGGUCGUGAGCACAUCACCGAGGUGUCCAGCUCCCGAGGCCCGAGCUACACUGCAAACAUGAGAGCCAUUCUGUCUUGAAGCAAUCUUGAGGGUGAAAACUACACCCUCCGCAUCACAGAGGUGGGGGAUGGGCAAGCCGAGUGGAGCAGCAGACCCCGAACCUCACGCAGAGAUGCCCCACCCAGCUUAAGCAUACGCUCCUCAGAGUAUCUGUGGCAGCCAGUGCAAUGCUGACUGGCCAGGACUCUUACAUUCUAAAAGAAGCUUUUGUGCAGACACAACGUCCUAACGCACCCACACCCUGACACCCUGAUGUCCUGACGGCAUUUCAGGCGCCCAGCUAGGCAGGGUGUUGGCGAGGCCUUUCUGGCUCCCGUCUCAAACCACAUGUCUGAAUAUAAGUGGAAGCAGAACAAGUGAACUGUCCUAUUCUCCUCUUGGGUGGUGGGUACAGCCACGAGCACAGCCUCAUUUAAUCAUUCUUUAUCCUACUUAAUCUGUGGCUCAAGGUCAAUAUUCUAAAAUAUUUUGAACUAUACUGAGAACUGUAAGUGCAGCAGCAGAGUGAGAAUGAACUACCCAGGACUGAAUUAGGUUGUGCGAAAGCCCAUGUUCGAAUACAGCAAUAUACCUGGGUUUGUGAAAUAAAUAUGAAAACAAAUGAAUCCCACACGUCACCAUGAUACAGAUGCUGUCCAGUUUCCAAUUAAUGGGCACUUGGCUGAGAUAAAGCACAAUGGUGUCACCUUCAGGUUCACCGUUAAAUUUCACACGGAGAAGAAAGGAGCGCCGCCACGCGUGCAGCCAGCUGCCCCAGUGUGCACGGCGCUGUUAUCUCAUUGCACCGGCUCCUGGCUCUUGGCCCCUGGGCGACAGUCCAACCACAGACAGUGACCUCUGCAGUUCUAGAGUAUUCUUCAGGAGCCAUCAGCACUUUGGGGGACCCGUAAGAAAAUGUGGUGAACAUGGAGGGCAACCUACAGUCUCCCUCAAUACUGAUGGUUGAUUGGUUAAUGCAGCUAACCAGCCAAACAGGUGAAAAGAAGGUAGCUGUUUGGUUUCCCAGGAGAACUAGUCAUGCCCUGGAGCUGGGGGCGCACCUGCUGUGCUUGCUGGGGGUACUCAGUGGGCUCAGCUCUGAACUCUGUUUUAGAGCGCUGUGCUAGCACGCAAAAACCGC